CCUACGGGCGGCAGCAGUAGGGAAUCUUUCACAAUGGGCGAAAGCCUGAUGGAGCAACGCCGCGUGCAGGAUGAAGGCCUUCGGGUUGUAAACUGCUUUUAUAAGCGAGAAAUAUGAUGGUAACUGAGGAAUAAGGAGCGGCUAACUACGUGCCAGCAGCCGCGGUCAUACGUAGGAUCCGAGCAUUAUCCGGAGUGACUGGGUGUAAAGAGUUGCGUAGGUGGCCUAAUAAGGAGCUAGUGUACUCGGGUGGCUCAACCAUUCAGACUAUUAGCUAAACUGUUAAGCUCGAGACCGUUAGGGGUAACUGGAAUUUCUAGUGUAGGAGUGAAAUCCGUAGAUAUUAGAAGGAACACCAAUAGCGUAGGCAGGUUACUGGGCCGGUUCUGACACUCAGGCACGAACGCGUAGGGAGCAAACGGGAUUAGAUACCCUUGUAGUC
rnacentral:rRNA from 1 species